UACGUAGGGUGCAAGCGUUUGUCCGGAAUUAUUGGGCGUAAAGAGCUCGUAGGCGGUCUGUCACGUCGGCUGUGAAAAUCCCGAGGCUCAACCUCGGGUCUGCAGUCGAUACGGGCAAACUAGAGUAUUGCAGGGGAGACUGGAAUUCCUGGUGUAGCGGUGAAAUGCGCAGAUAUCAGUCGGAACACCGGUGGCGAAGGCGGCUUCUUGGGCCGUUCCUGACGCUGAGGCGCGAAAGCUGGGGGAGCGAACGGG
rnacentral:rRNA from 1 species